AGGCUGAAGAAUUGUCUCACAUCUGCAACACAUUGGAUUUACAAACAGGCUGAAGCAUUCUUAUCAAUCAUAAGAAGAUAGCAUUUUGGAAAAAGAGAAGAGGUCAAGCUAGCUAGAUACUUAAACGAAUGAACACAUGAUGCAAUCAAUUGUUAUCCUUCUAAAGGCAACGUUAAGAGCAAUAACAGUAUUGUCUCUCCAAUCCAAUAUGAAACCAAAGUAAGACAUUCUAUGCUAUGCAAAAAUAACUGUAAUUUAUUUGCUCCCAUCGAUGCACUGAUUGAAUAAUCAACAUGGGUAGUUAAGCAUGAAAAAUAAAUAAACUUACAUAUUCAAGAAUACUGUUACUUCAGUUUUUUCACCUUUUACUCUUGUAGAAGUUUUAAUGCACGGAUACAGAAAUCAAUAAUAAUUCCAUUUCGAUGCACUGGAGAAAGCUGGGAUACCAGCAACUGAAGAAGUCAAUGAGAAACUUUUCAGCAACUUAUAUUAUUGUAGCAAAUUCAACUACGAUUGAAAGUUUAUCCAUUAAAAAUGUAAGCCAUAGAAACUUUGAUGCAAGCUAUGUUUGUUGCGAGGAAGGUCCACAGUUUGCACUGAAACUGAAUCAUAAAAAGUUUUCCUCUGCAUUCCCCAAAAACAGAGAGUUUAAUCUGUAGUGAUUGCACCACAUUGAGAUGAUCCAUACAUGCGAAGUCCUUAUUAUUUUAACUCAACUCAAUUAAGACUUUAUCCAAAAAAUUUGGGGUCGAUUAUAUAGAUUCGCUUUAAACGAUUUUAUAAAUAUAGAAUGCUUUUAGGUCAUGUUCUAGUUGU
rnacentral:misc_RNA from 1 species